GCCUGUGUAGCUCAGGCAUAGAGCAUCAGACUUUUAAUCUAAGGGUCCAGGGUUCAAGUACCUCUCCAGGUG
rnacentral:tRNA from 1 species